AGUGAAGCGGGAACAGCUCAAAUUUGAAAUCUGGCCUUCGGGUCCGAAUUGUAAUUUGCAGAGGAUGCUUUUGGUUAGGUACUUUCCGAGUUCCCUGGAACGGGACGCCUUAGAGGGUGAGAGCCCCGUACGGUUGGAUACCGAGCCUUUGUAAAGCUCCUUCGACGAGUCGAGUAGUUUGGGAAUGCUGCUCUAAAUGGGAGGUAAAUUUCUUCUAAAGCUAAAUACCGGCCAGAGACCGAUAGCGCACAAGUAGAGUGAUCGAAAGAUGAAAAGCACUUUGAAAAGAGGGUUAAAUAGCACGUGAAAUUGUUGAAAGGGAAGCGUUUAUGACCAGACUUUUUCCAGGCGAAUCAUCCGGUGUUCUCGCCGGUGCACUUCGUCUGGUUGAGGCCAGCAUCGGUUUUCGUGGGGGGAUAAAAGCGGUGGGAAUGUGACUCCUCCGGGAGUGUUAUAGCCCGCCGUAUAAUACCUCCAUGGGGACCGAGGUUCGCGCUCUGCAAGGAUGCUGGCGUAAUGGUCAUCAACGACCCGUCUUGAAACACGGACCAAGGAGUCGAACAUUUGUGCGAGUGUUUGGGUGUUAAACCCUCACGCGUAAUGAAAGUGAACGGAGGUGAGAGCCCUUACGGGUGCAUCAUCGACCGAUCCUGAUGUUUUCGGAUGGAUUUGAGUAAGAGCAUAACUGUUCGGACCCGAAAGAUGGUGAACUAUGCGUGGAUAGGGUGAAGCCAGAGGAAACUCUGGUGGAGGCUCGCAGCGGUUCUGACGUGCAAAUCGAUCGUCAAAUCUGCGCAUGG
rnacentral:rRNA from 1 species